rnacentral:rRNA from 1 species
AUGUCUAUGGCGCUUUUGGAGGCUGAACUGCAACCACGCCGGCCGGCCCUUGCUCAGACCGGCUCUCACCCUGCUAUGCCUCCUCCCUCGCCACCGCCCACCAGCACAGCCUACGCAAAGCAAGACUCAACUUCCUCCAGCCUCUCAUGGGCGGCCCGCUGCUGCCUCCUGCCGCAGCGCCCGUCGAGGUGCCUGAGCUGUCCGACGAUAGCGAGGGCAGUGAUGACGACGACCACGACACCUUCUCUCUCGCCCACGGCGACGGUGGAGGUCUCCAACUCCUUCUCCUCGCUGGCCCUCGACAGCGGCGAGAGCUCUCAGCCUUCUGGUAAUUACGUGCCUGUUCGGCAAGCGUCCGCUCGGCAGCUCAGCUCCUGGAGCGGCUGGAGUAGCUGCGGAGUGCGCCGAACGCGUUGGCUUCGUGCCUCUCCCACAGCGGAGCGGAGUGGCUUGUAG